rnacentral:misc_RNA from 1 species
UCCGGUUUAACACCGGCAGUCUCCAUAGAGUGCCCAACUGAAUGAUGGCAACUAGGGAUAAGGGUUGCGCUCGUUAAGGGACUUAACCCGACAUCUCACGAUACGAGCUGACGACAGCCAUGCAGCACCUGUCUCCCAGCCCCCGAAGGGGAAACCCUAUCUCUAGGGCUGUCUGGGGAUGUCAAACCCAGGUAAGGUUCUUCGCGUUGCUUCGAAUUGAACCACAUGCUCCACCGCUUGUGCGGGCCCCCGUCAAUUCCUUUGAGUUUCAGCCUUGCGGCCGUACUCCCCAGGCGGGAGACUUAACGCGUUAGCUCCGACACCGAAGGGCUCGAUCCCCCCGGCAUCUAGUCUCCAUCGUUUACUGCGUGGACUAC